rnacentral:rRNA from 1 species
CACGGGGGGAGCAAGCGUUGUUCGGAAUCACUGGGCGUAAAGGGCGUGUAGGCGGUCAUGUAAGAGGAAUGUGAAAUCCCUCGGCUUACCCGAGGACCUGCAUCCCAAACUGCAUGACUUGAAUCCGGGAGAGGGAUGCGGAAUUCCAGGUGUAGCGGUGAAAUGCGUAGAUAUCUGGAGGAACACCGGUGGCGAAGGCGGCAUCCUGGACCGGCAUUGACGCUGAGGCGCGAAAGCCAGGGGAGCAAACGGG